CAACCUGCAAACACAUAGUUGUUUCUAAUAAUGGAUGUGUAAAGAAAUUUUCAUAGAGUACCCUGGGCAUAAUGUUGACGCUGGAGCCAAAGUCGCAGAGUGCUUCUGGGAAGUCCACCAUGCCGAUGGAGAUCGGGAUGACGGGGCAUCCUAGAUCGCCUCUCUUGACUGGCAGAAGGUCAGUAAUUACUUCCACAACAUGGUUACUCCAAUAGUUACAUCCUCAAGCAUCUCAGGGCAGUGAUUGCCUGAGUGUCCAGUAUCUCUAGUGUGUUUGUGCUUGUAGAUCUAGGUUCUUCACUUGGUGGAGUCUAGGAGUUGUAAAACUCCAUAUUUUGCUCGAAGUGUACCUGCUCAUAGAGACAAGGCAGAGAUCAAGUGCAUGGGCCCUGUUGGUGGAAAACACCAACAGAACCAAAAGUGUAUUUGUUCUCUCUAACCUUAAGCAUAGUCAGCAAGACAAAGUUGAUGGAUAAUAAGAUCAUGAGUGUAGCAUUUAAAACAUUUGUCAGAUCAAAUCGCUCAACCUAAUGGAAAGAUAAUCUAUCUAUACUUAUGUUUUUUUAUAUAUAUCUUCCAAAGAUUGAGUGUGCAACAUUUUAGCUCAUAAGAUUAGGAGUGUGGGAUCACAAUGGUGGAAGGUCUAACAUAUUGAAUCGACUGGGUUGGUUACUCUAGAGUUGUAAAUCGUACAUGUUUGUCUCUUUUAUUCAUGUGAACGCCAGAACCAAGGAGAAACUUAUAGAAGAGAUAGUCAAGUACCUUAAGAUGUUACCUUACUUGAAGAGUGAUGGUACAGUAUCACCUUGUGGAAGCUUUCCUUUCUUAGCGGUUGUGCAUCGUGUUUGUGGCACCCUCCAUGGAUCAUCUCUUGUGAGCUAUGCCUUCCUUGUGUAAAUUGUUAAACUUCAUGUGUCUCUCUCUUUGUCUCCAAUGUGAGUUUAUCUCAGGACUUCCCAGGUCGAUACUGAAAGUUUUCCUGCAAGGGUUAGUCCAACAAAAUAUCUCAUAUCUACUAUAGCAUACUAUCGGCUCAAAAAUCAACCU
rnacentral:lncRNA from 1 species